rnacentral:misc_RNA from 1 species
CUGCCCUCAAGCACGGCUUGUGUGUUGGGCGCCGUCUCCCCCCCCGGGGGACGGGCCUGAAAGGCAGCGGCGGCGUCGCGUCCGGUCCUCGAGCGUAUGGGGCUUCGUCACCCGCUCUGUAGGCCCGGCCGGCGCCUGCCGACCAUCAUCCUUUUUUUUCA